rnacentral:rRNA from 1 species
GACGAACGCUGGCGGCGUGCUUAACACAUGCAAGUCGAACGGAAAGGCCCUGCUUUUGUGGGGUGCUCGAGUGGCGAACGGGUGAGUAACACGUGAGUAACCUGCCCUUGACUUUGGGAUAACUUCAGGAAACUGGGGCUAAUACCGGAUAGGAGCUCCUGCUGCAUGGUGGGGGUUGGAAAGUUUCGGCGGUUGGGGAUGGACUCGCGGCUUAUCAGCUUGUUGGUGGGGUAGUGGCUUACCAAGGCUUUGACGGGUAGCCGGCCUGAGAGGGUGACCGGCCACAUUGGGACUGAGAUACGGCCCAGACUCCUACGGGAGGCAGCAGUGGGGAAUAUUGCACAAUGGGCAGAAGCCUGAUGCAGCAACGCCGCGUGCGGAAUGACGGCCUUCGGGUUGUAAACCGCUUUCGCCUGUGACGAAGCGUGAGGGACGGUAAUGGGUAAAGAAGCACCGGCUAACUACGU